rnacentral:tRNA from 1 species
GGGAGAGUGGCCGAGUGGUUAAAAGCGACAGACUGUAAAUCUGUUGAAGGUUUUCUACGCAGGUUCAAAUCCUGCCUCUCCCA